CGCCUGAGGAUUCACCAAGGGUCUUACCCCAGGUACUUGAGGAAGAGAUCUUCCACCGCCCUCGGAAGCUGGUGCCUCUCCGUCGUAGUUAUAAUCCUCGUGGCCAUAAUUUUGCAUGGCUGAUCGGACCGGAUGAUCAACGGCGCUCCCACGACUGUCAAUCCCUUUAGCGGAGUGUCAAAUCGAUGGCUGACCGUGUGCCACCUUCUCGGCAAUCAAUAGACGAGCCAGGACGCUUGCGCAACCCUCAGCUACCCCCAACUACCCUCGAGCAUUCCCUCAGCCGUGGAAUGUGAAAUUCGAGCAAAAUCUUGGAGAGAACUUCGGCCCGGAUCACGUAAUCGACUUUGCAACUUUCAUCUGGCUCCCGUCGAAAACAUUGACUUUGCGCAAACCUGAAUCUAAGAUAAAAGUUCUACGCAAUCAGUUCCAGUACAAAGUU